UUUAUCUUAGUGGCGGACGGGUGAGUAACGCGUGGGUAACCUGCCCUGUACAGGGGAUAACACUUAGAAAUAGGUGCUAAAACCGCAUAAGCGCACAGUACCGCAUGGUACAGUGUGAAAAACUCCGGUGGUACAGGAUGGACCCGCGUCUGAUUAGCUGGUUGGAGGGGUAACGGCCCACCAAGGCGACGAUCAGUAGCCGGCCUGAGAGGGUGAACGGCCACAUUGGGACUGAGACACGGCCCAAACUCCUACGGAAGGCAGCAG
rnacentral:rRNA from 1 species